rnacentral:lncRNA from 1 species
UUGUGAAUGCCAUUUUAUUGCAUUUAAUGUAAUGUUUAUAAAUAAAAUUUGUCAAUAUACAUAUCAUUUUGAUAUACAUGUAUGUACAAAAUAUACAACUAUUCAUAUAAAAUAACAGAUCAAGCAGUCUUGUGGAAUUCUUAAGUUUUAAAACAAAUAACAAAAUAAUAUACAAUAACACUUCUAUCAUGCUAAGUCAGGCUCUGACCAUCAUACAUGAUUUUCAUAAUUUAUCUAAAAAGACUUAGUAAAAUUAUCACUUCCUAUCAUUAACUCAAAAGAUCAGUCAAUAUUGCUCCAAAGAAUACCAGAAUAGUGGAUACAAAUUAUCAAUCAUAAAAAAUACAAUUGUCAGUUUUCUGAUAAAAUGUAAUGAAGGGUUUAGUGACCCUUCAUCUUGUCUGCUCUUACAAUUUUAUGAAUGAACACUUACAAUUCCUAUAACUUGUAAUUCAAAUGAUAUCCAUGCAAAAUAAAAAUGUGAAAUAUUAAGAUUUAAAAAGAAAAUUAGAAAUACAUUUACUGACAUGGUUUUUUUUCUCUUAACAUUUAUAAAAUAUUCAUUACAAAUUAUCCUUAAAUAAUCCUUUAUUUCCUUUUUACUAUAAUUCUUAGGUAUUCUUUUCACAUGAGCUAUCAGCCAAGAAGUUUAAACUAUUUAUAAAUGUCAAAUCUACCGCCUCAAUAAUGAAAAAAAUAUUACCAAUUUUUUUUCAACUAGAUCCUAUUUAAAAUAUUAAACAUAAAUCCAAUUUUAAAUAAACAUUUGAUAAUUUUUUUCAAGCUAUAAAAACAAUUUUUGCAAGCUUUUAACUCAUACAUUUAUGAGGUCCAUCCAGUUGAUUGCCAGUAUGCUAUAAAAAAAAAAUGGGAGACAACUUUUCUCCCAAUUACAUUUCACAUUAGUACCUUCCUUAUGUGGGGAGACAAAAAUUAAGCAUCCAUGGUAGGGAUUUUUAUUCUAUAAAUAAGCAGUUUGGUACUUGGACUUAUGGUACAAAAUAUAAUGAAUUAAAAGUCUCUCAGUUUUGUGCAUCGAUAGAAAAUUUACAUAUAUCUAAGAUUUAUUCUAUUUAAAUGAUAUAAAUGAGGAUUGUUCUGUGUAGUUUGGAAUGGGACUGUCAGUCUAUGUAAUUACUUGAAAAAAACACUUUUUUUUUUAUGAUUUUGUAGAUAUAGCACUUUUACAAUGUUGGAAGACUAAACAAGUUUUUUUAUUCCUUCACCCUCCAUAUAAACUAUGAUCGACAUUGACAAAGUGGUAAAAAGUACAAGUCAACUAGAAAAGAACUUGACACAUCAGACUGUUAUUAAGUAAAGGUUGCUAGAUAAAUCAAAGUAAUAUAUAAAUAAUAUUCAUAAACGAGUCUAAUUUGAAAACUACGUUCAAACAUUGUACAUCUAUCAAGUUAAUCAAGAGCAAAAAAUUGGAAAAAACUAAAGAU